UGGGCAACAAGAGUCUUUCACCUUUGGGGGUC
rnacentral:piRNA from 1 species